AACGAACGCUGGCGGCAUGCCUAACACAUGCAAGUCGAACGAGACCUUCGGGUCUAGGGGCGCACGGGUGCGUAACGCGUGGGAACCUUCCCUUAGGUUCGGAAUAACUCUCCGAAAGGGGUGCUAAUACCGGAUAAUGUCUUCGGACCAAAGAUUUAUCGCCUUUGGAUGGGCCCGCGUUGGAUUAGCUAGUUGGUAGGGUAAAAGCCUACCAAGGCGACGAUCCAUAGCUGGUCUGAGAGGAUGAUCAGCCACACUGGGACUGAGACACGGCCCAGACUCCUACGGGAGGCAGCAGUGGGGAAUAUUGGACAAUGGGCGAAAGCCUGAUCCAGCAAUGCCGCGUGAGUGAUGAAGGCAUUAGGGUUGUAAAGCGCUUUUAACCGGGAUGAUAAUGACAGUACCGGGAGAAUAAGCUACGGCUAACUCCGUG
rnacentral:rRNA from 1 species